rnacentral:lncRNA from 1 species
AUGUGCGGGAGCCCCGGAGCGGUGCCGGGAGCGGUGCCGGGAGCGGUGCCGGGAGCGGUGCGAGGGGCGGUGCCGGGGAAGAACCCGGAGCGGGGCGGGAGCAGCGGCUGGGGGAGCCCCUCGAGCAGUGCGGGGAGGAGCAGCCGCACCCCGCGGACCGCGGCCGGCAGGAAGCAGCGCAGGGACCGGGAGGGAAGUGCAUCGCCCGCGGCCGCAGGAGAACCCCGGACCGCGCAGAGGCCCCGCUCCCUCCAGCCCGCCGCGCAGAGCGAAAGCGGAAAAAAAGGCGGCGCGGCCCGGCCCUUCCCCGGGCCCGGGCCCCUGCUCCCCGGCGCGGACGCCGCCACAGCUCGGCCCGCACUCCCGCCGUCGCCGGGGGUCCGAGGGCGAGGAAUUCCCGCGGACGCGGAGCCGGGAGCGCCCGCCGCCACCCCCGCGCCCGGCCGAAGGACCGCGGGCUGCCCCGGCCUCCCUCCCGCCCUCCCUCAGACACGCCCGCGCCCCGACAGGCCCCGACCCGGCCCGCAGGGGGCCGCACUCACCGCGGCCCGGCGCAGCAGGCGCGGAAGCCUGUCGGCGGCCCGGCGUCCUCCCGCGAGCCCGGCCGGCGGCGCCCCCCGUCAACGAGGCUCCCCAGCCCCCGCCCAGGCGGGGCCCGCGCUGACGCACGCUAACGUCACUGCCGCGACAGGGCGCCGCGGGCCGCGUCAGAGCGCAGCGCCACGGCCUCCUCCUGCGGGCGGGGCCGCCCAGGGGCGGGCGCUGUGGCGGGCCCUGCGGCUUCCUUUCUCCCUCCGCGCCUGUCGCCCUCCGGAGGCGCGGGGCACGCGCCGGACUCGGAGUCCUGCGGCCCGGAAGCCGGCGGAAACGCCCCGCCGCGCGGAGUCCCCCCGGGGCGGCACUGGCGUCGGCGUCCGCGCCUGCGCCGUGGCGCCUGCACGCGAAGGUCGCGCGGCCUGCGCGCCCUCUGGCCCUGGGGGCGGGGCCGGGAGAGCCCCUGGACGCUCGUCAAAGAGGGGUUACGGACUGGACUGCGUAGUCGCCUGCGAAUCCUGUGUCCUGUACGGUCGGUCGUGCAGUGUGUCACUAUCUUCAUAA